rnacentral:rRNA from 1 species
GACGAACGCUGGCGGCGUGCUUAACACAUGCAAGUCGAACGGAAAGGCCCUGCUUUUGUGGGGUGCUCGAGUGGCGAACGGGUGAGUAACACGUGAGUAACCUGCCCUUGACUUUGGGAUAACUUCAGGAAACUGGGGCUAAUACCGGAUAGGAGCUCCUGCUGCAUGGUGGGGGUUGGAAAGUUUCGGCGGUUGGGGAUGGACUCGCGGCUUAUCAGCUUGUUGGUGGGGUAGUGGCUUACCAAGGCUUUGACGGGUAGCCGGCCUGAGAGGGUGACCGGCCACAUGGGGACGGAGAUACGGCCCAGACUCCUACGGAGGCAGCAGUGGGGAAUAUUGCACAAUGGGCGGAAGCCUGAUGCAGCAACGCCGCGUGCGGGAUGACGGCCUUCGGGUUGUAAACCGCUUUCGCCUGUGACGAAGCGUGAGUGACGGUAAUGGGUAAAGAAGCACCGGCUAACUACGUG